rnacentral:rRNA from 1 species
AGCGGGAAGCCCCUCCCAAGAUGAGAUCUCCCUGGGCACGUGAUGUCCCUGAAGGUCCGUUGAAGACCACGACGUUGAUAGGCGGGGUGUGGAAGCGCGGCAACGUGUGAAGCUAACCCGUACUAAUUGACCGUGCGGCUUGACCAU